GCCCCCCAGAGCAAGUGAGACAAUCCCAAGGAAGGCAGGUGGCUCAGCAGCCACACAGCAGGGGAAUGUGCAGCCCCUAGGGGAAGGAAGCAGCGCCCAGCCCUGGGGAUUAUUUUCUAUCAGAACUUAAAGAGUAAAGCAGUUUGCAAAGUUGAAGAGUAGUUGAGAUCUCAUGCGUUUGAAAGCAAUCCCUGUACAAAACACCAAGAGAAUUUAUAGAAACAUUAGGAGGCAGCAGCCUCCCUGUUGAUAAGAGUUCCCUCUCAAAUAAAAUCCACAUGUUAUUUAUGUUCUUUGACUCAUCUGUUAGCUCCCUAUAGAUAUUGAGAUAUAAGAAUAAUCUGUUAGUAAUAUUAUUCCAUUUGGAGCAGAUUCUUUGUUCUUAAGCUAAAAAGUGACUAUGGGAGAGAUCCACCAGGAGGUAUUAAGGACUCGAGUAGCUUGGAUGAAGACGGGAGAGGCAGCACAUAGAAGUCAUCCACACAAGAUUGCAAAAACAGGAGAGCUAUGUCUCUAGGAAGGCUUUAUUGCUUUUCAAUAAUGUGAUAACGUUCCUAUAAAAGUAAUUUAUAAACAGACUCAAGGCAACGCUGGGAAGCGGAGCCUGUGGGUUUUAGAGAAGAACCCACAAGCUCCAUCCGGGAAUUGUAUUGAGUUUGUUUUUCACAGUUGAGGUCGCCGCUCUUUGCUCUCAGAUUUCAAAGUGAGAGGCACUGGCUGCUUUCUAAUGCAGGGGCAGCAGCCCGGCUAUGAGCUCUGUGAGUCAGGAGGGAAGCUAGAGAAUUUCUACAUCCCCAGGUUCAAAACUGUGCAGGGCCAGGUGAUUGCCAGGAGCUUUGUGUUCAGUGAGGUGAUGCUCUCAGGGCAGGAGGCUGGUGCACACGGGCCUCCUCGGGGACCCAGGGACUGGGAGCAGGCAGGCUCCACAGGUUGGCCUUUGCCUUUACUCACUGGCAUGCCUAGAUGUGGGAGUGGUUUCACAAAGGACAUGAAGUGAAAAAGGCAACUCUCAUCUUCUAUUUUAUGAUAGCAGCACUGUGAUUCUAACUUGGUGUCAGAUGGGAAACUGGAGUUUUUGGCUGAACAGGAAAAGGAAAGCCUCUCUAUUCGGUAACGUGUACCUUAGACCUCCAGAACUUGGGAGGUUAAGGCAUGUAUACCGCCAAGCCUGAGGACUGCAUGUGCAAAGGCCCUGAGCAGAGAGGAGUUUGGUUGGUUUUCAGCGAAGAGAGAAGGCUGGUGCGGCUGAAGCCUAUUGAGUGAGAGAGUCCAAAGACAAGACAGAGCCUCAGCCUUUAAGGUCUUGUGGGCCAUGCUAAGAGCUGAAGGAGGAGUGCUUGGUGCUGCAGUCGGAACUAUGAUGUGCUUUCUUCUGGCACCAUCAGGGCAGAUUCCCAGAGCUCUUCAAGAAAUGCAAGGAGGGCAGGGCUGUCUGAGACACUGACAAAACCCCCUUUAUGGGAUCAGAGGAGAUGGAGCAUCUGGCAUUUGACAAAACACUGGUUCACGUGAUGAAGUCACAUGGACUUUUGGAAAAGAACCUACUGCACUGCAGGUGUCCGAUGCCUGCCACAGCACAUGAGUCAGCAGGGAUGAACACUCUGAGAGAGUUCUGAAGCACAGAGGUUGGUGUGAGUUUAGAAAGAAAACACCUGAUCCUCCCACCUCGUGGGAAUUCCUAUUGUGGUCUCAGCCAGGUAGCAUCCGUACCAUUUAAUAGAUUUAUAACAGCAGUUCUGUAUCAGAAACAGCAAGCUGGUCUGUGGUGACUGAGAUUCAUGAGGUCUCAGCUCAGUGCCACUGGAUACCUGUGCACCAAACUGGGGCAUAAAGCAUCGGCCCUGCCACCAGAAGCUAUGAAGGUAGAGCCAAGAUCACUGGGAACCCAAUAGAACAAAAGAACACCAUGAGAAAACAGGGUACUCUACUCGGCGGGGGCUGCCAUGACAAAGUACCAGACUGGGUGGCUGAAACAGCAGAAACAUAUGUCUCCCGUAGGUCUGGAGGCUGGAGUACAAGAUCAAGGCACUGUAUUUGCAGAUUCAGAUGCCACAGUUAUACUAACACAGAAAGAAGUUUGAGAAACGUUUUACAUUUCUAUUCUCUUUGGAGUUUACAUAAUGUAAAGAUUAUCCCAACCUCACAAGCUUAAAAAAAAUUAUCAAUAUUGCCACCACAGAGACAUUCUCGCCAUGUUCCUUUACCCUCAUCUCUAUGACUAUGAUUCUAUUCAGGUUUAAUGAUUCUUUAGCUAAUCACAGUAAUUUUUUUUCUAGGAAAUAGUUAAUUUUAACCAAUUAAUGUGGACAUGGUUUUCAUAUUUUCCAGUAAAUUUUGAAAUUUAUGUCUGUGCUUAGGUGCCCUUUUUCAUUCUUAGUUUUUCAUAUUUAUGCCUUCUCUCUUUAUUUCUUCUUUUAUACUAGUCAAGUAUAUUCAUAUAACUGGGGUUGAUGUUUCCCUAACAUGCCAGCUCCUGCACAUGUCUAGUUGUUAGGAAGCCCUUCAAUGGCAGAGAUGAUGAAAGAAACAAUGGGCCCACUGCUCUCUGGCUGCAGGCUCAGUGAGUUUAAUUUCAUGAGGCUCCAUGGGACGCAGACUUUGACAAGCUCCACAAAUUACUCUGACGCCAUUGUUUAUGAAUCACACAAUCCUAGAUUUCAAAGAAGCAUGUCACUGUACAUAUGGGACACAUUAGUAUAAAGCCAUAAAUUGGUGUUAAUAUCCUGAAUGAUCUGGACAAUUAAGGACAAUUUUUUUUUAUUGUUCUCAUCUGAUGAAAAUAAGCAGAGGAAUGGAAAACAAUCCCAUUAACAUUGAAUUGUAGAGCCAUUUUUGGAAGCUAUAAAAACAGUGGAAGAGAAAAGAAUCACUGAGGUGGACUUUUAGGGACUUUGCUUUUAACUCAAUGAGGAGCAAAGCCAAAUAUUUUAAAGAAGAGUACAAUCUAAUGGUAAUAGUUUCAGUGCUGAUUAGUUAUCAUCUGAUGCAUCAGUCAGAAUACCAUAAAGGGGAGGACCUAAAAAUAAACGCGUUGCUUCUGUUAGGGGAGCACUCUGACCUAGGUGUCCUGGCACGCAGUUGCCCUAGCGCACAUCAGCAGAGCUUUACUUCCUGGCAUUUGUUGUCAAGUGCCUUCUGAGCCAGAUCCUCUCUUGGAAGCUGUGGGCGUGAAGAUGCAUAAAACACAAGCUCAUACUAUUUGCUUCCCUUCACUGCCCUUCAUCAGCUUGCAGGACACCGUGUUUCCCUGGUGUGUGUCCCUAUUUGUGAUACAUGUUUGCCAGGUUUGUCAUCUUCAGUCCACAUCCACUGUGGUCAGCACUUGUCCUGCUCUCGUCUCCAGAAGACAUCCUAGUGUCUCGUGUCAGCAGUUCCCUAACAUGCUCUCAGGCAAGUCUCCUGACCAUCAAGCUGAGAGAGGACUCUUCGCCCAUCAUCUUGGCUCCCCUCCUUGUUUGUCAUGUUUAUAAUAGUAACCUGAACUGGGUUCGGGUACAUAAACUUUCUAGGCUUUA